CUUUAGAGGUAUAGCCCAGUGGCCCCAGCCCCACCAGAGAAGAGAAGACUUACAGGUCUAGGUACUCAGAGAAGUUGAACCCUUCACUCACAUUCCGUCCAGAGUAGAGCAAAGUCCCCAUCAAAUGGUGUCUUACCAGUGUUUCUAUUACCGCACAAAAUAUCACGACCAAGAAGCAAGUUGGGCAGGAAAGGGUUUAUUCAGCUUACACUUCCACAUGGCUGUUCAUCACCAAAGGAAGUCAAGACAGGAAUUGACACAGGGCAGGAACCUGGAGGCAGAAGCUGAUGCAGAGGCCAUGGAGGAGUGGUGCAUGGCUGACUUCCUUCCCCUUACUUGCUCAGCUUGCUUUCUUAUAGAACCUUACAAUACCAGCCCAGGGAUGGCACCAGCUGCGAUCUGCCCUUCAACAUUUUUAUUACUAACUGAGAAAACGCCUUGCAGCUGGAUCUCAUGCAGGCAUUUCCUCAAGGGAGGCUCCUCUCUCUGGGAUAACUCCAGCUUGUGUCAAGUUGACACACAGAACCAGCCAGUACAACUGAUCCCUUGUCAACUUGAGAAACACAUCACCAUUAAGCCUCAUCCCUUUCUUUCUUACUCAUCCCCAAGACCUAAAUAAUUUUAAAAGACCCACAGGCUUUACAGAUUAAAAUGCCAAUCCCUUUAAAGUAUCCAAUAUCUAAUAAAAUUCAAAGCCUCUUAACUGUGGGGUACUUUCUUCAAGAGGGAAAAAUAUGGGCUGGAGAGAUGGCUCAAUGGUUUAGAGUAUUGACUGUUCUUCCAGAGGUCCUGAGUUCAAUUCCCAGCAACCACAUGGUGACUCACAAUCAUCUGUAAUGAGAUCUGAUGCCCUCUUCCGGUGUAUCUGACGACAGCUACAGUGUACUUAUAUAUAAUAAAGUAAGUAAGUAAGUAAGUAAAUACAUACAUACAUACAUACAUACAUACAUAUAUACAUACAUACAUACAUACAUAAAUGAAAGAGGGAAAAAUAUCAGGGCACGGUCACAAUGAAAAGAAAAAUCAAACUCUGACUGCCCAAUGUCUGGGAUCCACUCACGAUCUUCUGGGCUCCUCCAAGGGCUUGGGUCACUUCACCAGCCCUGCCCUUUGUAGCACACACCUUGUCUUGUAGGCUCCAGAUGCCUGUAGUCCACUGUUGCUGCUGUUCUUGGUGCUCAUCUCAUGGCACUGGCAUCUCCAAAACACUGCUGUCUUCUGCUGCAACUGCACUGCACUUUCACAAAUAGCCUCUCACAGGCUCCUUUCAGGGUGCUAAGCCUCAACUUCUCUUCAAUCCUGGGCCUUGAAUUGCCACUGAGGCUGCACCUUCACCAACGGCCUCUCCUGCACUCUUGCAGUAUCAAGCUUCAGCUGCUACCUUCAUGUCUGAAACCUAGUAACCCUGGGUGACUCUUACACAUUACCAAGUCUGGCGGACAUGAGGAACGACCAUGCGUAUGGAACACAGCUUCCCUGUGCUCUCAGGAAACACUUCCCUGAUUUCACCUCAGUGGCGCUCAUCUCUUCUAAAUCACUGCAAAUUUCUUAGAUCCAGCAAGCCAGCAUCAGUCAUCCCAGUACUGCAAAGGAUCCCAGUAAUGCAAAGGUUUUGCUUCAGUAGUUUUGAUAUCUUGUUCAUUACAGCUGAUUCUACAGACCCAGCUAACCAAAACCACAAAACCGUUUGCACUGUUCUCAACAUUAUCUUCCAAGCUCCUACAGAACACCCCACAGAGCUCUUAACACCCAAUGGCUCUUCUAUCCCAAAGUUCCAGAGUCCUUCCACAGUCCUCAAAAAAACAUGGUCAGCCUGUCACAGGGAUACCCCACUCCCAGUACCAAUUUGUCUUAGUCAGGGUUCCUAUUCCUGUACAAAGCAUCAUGACCAAGAAGCAAGUUUGGGAUGAAGGGGUCUAUUCAGCUUACACUUCCACAUGGCUGUCCAUCAGGAAAGGAAGUCAGGACUGGAACUCACACAGGGCAGGACCUUGGGGAUAGGAGCUGAUGCAGAGGCCAUGAAGAAGUGCUAUUUAUUGACUCGCUUCCCCUGUUUGUUCAGCUUGCUUUCUUUUAGAUCCCAGAAAGUCCAGGGAAGGCCCCAGCCACAAUGGGCCCUCCAACCCUUGAUCACUAAUUGAGAAAAUGCCUUACACCUGGAUCUCAUGGAGGCAUUUCCUCAAGGGAGACUCCUUUCUCUGUGAUAACUCCAGCUUCCAUCAGGUUGACACACAGAACCAGACAGUAGAGAUGGUCUUAUGAGUGACUGCAGCACUCUCACGGAAGAACCACCCGGGGAUUCCGGAACCAAAUCUGUGCAUCACAGAGCUGUUCCCAGCUGACAGGCACAGGGGAUCUGUGGACCCAGCCUCACUUUUCCCUUGAACUUGGAAUGUGCCAUCAACACCUGCUCUCCCUGACUCGCUGUCUUGGGAUUUAGAAUAUGUGGGGAGACAACUCUAGUUCUCCCAGCGAAAGGCUUCAAAAGACUAGGUCUUGAGCCUCAGGCUUUUUUGCAAAGCCUUGGGAUUAAACAUCAUUUAGGAAGCUAUAGGGAAUCUCUGGAUCCAUGGCUUACACCAAGACUUGGUAGAUUGAGGAGCUGGGAGAAUUCAAAGAAUGCCAAGUCUACAAAGAAGGGGGAUCCUGGGAAAAGCGACACGUAGCAUUGUUCUUAUGAACACACACCUUCCCUUGACAAACAUAACAGGAGGUCAGUCUUGUACGAGUGAGCAUAUAGCUAGGGGUGGAAGCAUACGACCCCUCCAGGUCCCAUGUUAUAUCAGGUACACAGUAUGGGGUCUCCGUCUUCCACCUGCAGCAGUCAACAAUCCACUCAGAGGUCCCAUGGUUACCUACAAGCUGAAGCCAAACGUCAGUGCCCAUCUGGAUGAGCUGAGCUACACGUGACAUGCCUGGGGAAGAACCUAGAAUGUACCUUCCCCUCAUGGUGGUUCAUGGCUAGGCAUCCAGUCUGCAUCCACUGCAGCAUCACCCAGUCACCUCCUCUUGUUUCCCCAUCAAGGCUGAGGGACUGUGAUGACCACAACUGCUCUGCUCUCUGGAAGAGGCUCCCCUGGGUUAGUGUCUGGCAGCACGUUAGCUGGGCUGCAGUUAAAAGAAUAGGACAUGGGUGCCGGUCUACGAGAAGUGCUGGGGUAUUUGAGUUUUGUACAUCCACUUCUGUUGCCCCAGAGGAAGGCCAAUACAGCACGGGACAUGGACCCCUCUGUAAUCUCACGACAUAGGACCAGAUGUCCUCCUUGCCCCUUCCUCUCCUGGUGUCUCUUGCUUCCCCUCUAGGAUCUCUCUUAUCUAAUGCUUCUUUUUCUGUUCCACAGUCAUGGUAAUUUUAAACUAUUUGAGAAAUCUCUAGUAAUAAGGACCUAUUCAUAUAAUCAAAGCUUUAAAUCUUUGAAGUUUCUUUUCCAAGAUCCGAGGUUUGACCACACAACAAAAGCAAAAUUCACUAGCAACUCUCAUCAAUUAAAAAAAUAGGCUUGGGAAACAGCCCAGGGCCGCAUGAUCCUGGUAAGUGUUAGAUGUCCAGUCAGGCUAAAUACAGGUCAGGAGAAAGGUGGAGAUAUUUUUUUGGACUGCACUAUUUGGUUUAAAAGAAGACACCAACCAAGCAGUCACACCUGGGAACAAUAAGAUCAGUUUUAUUCAGUGGGCCGAAAAGACAGGUACAGGUUUUGUUUUCCCUGAGGGAGAAGACCAAAACAAGAUUACUGAGGUCCCUGACGAGAGUAGCAAGUCUUUAGUCAGUGUGUGUCUGGGCAGUUAAGGGUUUUCUUACAAAAGAAAGCCACACUUCAAUGCAGAAAGCUUGUCAGUAUAGCUGGCUUAUCCUAGUUACCAGGUCUCAAACUGCUGGAAACAUCAAUGGGCCACCUGACUACAAACCAAGGACAAUCUUUCAUACAAGGUCUGGAGUUUUGCAUGCUCUCCAGGAAAACUCCUUAGGGGGCAUGUGAGGCACUGCACAACAUUGCCACUGGCUUUCCCCAUCAUGACAUAGCAGGGACUACACUGACCUAAAUCACAGUCACCGCCUGAGGAGGGUAUGUGUUGCUCUCGGGAAGAGCAAGUAUGGGGGAGCUGGCACUGCUACUUGGUGCCAAUUCAGUAGUGUGGACAAAGAAAGGGACACCCUUCUCUGUCCUUGUGCCUCACCACCUACAGCGAGCUUGAGACUUGACUCUGGUGUGACCAGAGCAGGAGCGCUGCCCCUGACACUCACUCGCUACAGCACUCUGGAGUUCAGGCCCCAGACCUUGCCUGGGAGCACAGUAGAGCUGGGCCUGGAUGUAUGGGUUGUGUACAAGCCCCAAGGGUCCUCUUGUCUGCUAGGCGAGGGUGAGAUCCCUCUUCAUUCAUUCAUCACGUGAUACCAGUGGCAGGCAGGAGAGCUGGCCCUGUGGUCAUCUGUAACAGAACUGGCCAUGUCCCUCACUAGCUGCAAAACUCCAAAGACUGUGACCGACACCCUACCUGAACAGCAGGUUAGAGCUGGCCCUGCUUGCAAGGAAUGCUGGUCAACAUCUAUCUACAAAGGCCACUGAAGCACUCUGCUGCCUGUUAAACAAGUAAAUAUCCAUCUCUGAACCGCUGAACUGGGAGAGGCUGAUCUCAUUUUCAAGAGAAUGCAAAGGUCCCAGUGGCCCAAAGUAGAGACAGCCACUGUGGCUUAUGCCGUGUUGUACUUGCUCCAUUUCUUGCUCUGACAUUACUGUGAUGGAAGAUUGAGGGUCCCCCAUAGGAGGCUGUGGGCUGUCUGUAGUUCUGUCCCUACAGAAGAGAGAGCUGUGGUUGGCGACCUGUGGGAUUCCCUCACAGCUGUCUGUUUAGUUGUUGGGUGAGAUCAGCUGCACCUAGUGUGGGAGCUUUCAGUCGUCCCUCAGCAGCGGUAUGCACCAGAGCAAAGCAACCCUAGCCUUGUGGCCAGCAAUUCUGCACAGAACCAACUCGGGAGUCCAUGUGCUCUUCCCAUCGGCAAGGGUACAUUUGGCACUGUCAAUCUUGCCUGCCAAAGACAAACACAAGCUGUGCUGGCCAUAAAAACUGUAGAGAUAACCAAGAAGCACAUCAGGAGAACACUGUCAGAAAUGACACCUCGGACACUUCACCAUGCUGACUCCAUCAGGCUCUUGAAGGUUCUAGUAACAACAUCAAAGCAAGUCUAUCUAGCUACAGAGUGAGCUCCAGGAGGAAACUUGUUUGACCUGAUAAUGGAGGAUGGCCUGCUGCAGGAAGGAGAGGCAAAGGAAAUUUUGGGCAGAUAGCCACAAAGUACUGCCCCAAAUUUGACAUUGUUUGAGACGCUAAACUUCAAAACAUUAUACAAGAUGCAGACAGAAAAACCAAGCUGAUGCUUUGGCUGCUCCACCAAGCUCAGACCUAGCAUCGCCCCUAAAUGGCAGUGAGGAACCAAGGGCUUUGGUACCCCAGAGAUUGUACUAGAGGGGCCACGUGGUGGGAUAAAGGCAGAUGUGUGGGGUCUGUGCUUGCUUUUCUAUUUUACCACACUGGGUGCCACCAGUUCAGAGGAAGCCACAUGAACGGUAUCAGGAAAAAGAUUGCCAGGGGACCUGUCAUAUUCUAAGUUGUAUCUCUGAGCACAUUGAAACCUAAUUAUCCAGGUCCUCACAGUGUCUUGAGAGAUGAGGCCCUGCACUCACGACACUGAGGGACACCCAUGGGUCAGGAAAGGUGAAGUAAAUAUCCCAACUGUGGUCUCUCUAUAUUACAACAGUGUAGACAUGCUCUGAGGAAUGCUGUCUAAUGCCAAUGAGAUGGUUGAACCCCUCCAAAAAAAAAAAGACAUUGGCGGAAUGAUGGGUGCAUAUUUGAUUUUAAAAGAACAGGUAUGCAUGGAGGUUGAGCAUGGAUCUACCACUUCAGCCAAGCCUGGAUUCCAUGCACUAUGCCCCUCCUUUCACCAGCACUUGCCUGUAUCUCUGGAUAUUAGCCCAAAAGCUCGAAUUACCCAGGAUAUAAUCCACAGACCACAUGAAGCUCAAGAAGGAGGACGACCAAAGUGCAGAUGCUUCAGUCCUUCUUAAAAGGGGGAAAAUAUUCAUAGGAGAUACGGAAACAAAGUUUGGAGCAGAGACUAGAGGAAUAGAUACUCAGAGCCUACCCACCCUGGGAUCCAGCUCAUAUACAUACAGCCACCAAACCCACACAGCAUUGCUGAUACCAAGAAGUGCAUGCUGACAGGAGCCUGAUAAAAGCUGUCACCUGAGAGGCUUUGCCAGAGCCUGACAAAAAGAUGCGGAUGCUCAAAGCCAACCACUGAACAGAGAACAGGGUUCCCAUUGGAGGAGUUACAAAAAGGUUUGAAGGAGCUGAAGGGGUUUGCAACCCCAUAAGAACGACAAUACCAACCAAACAGACCUCCCAGGGACUAAACCAUUACCCAAAUGGACAGAGCCAUGGCUCCAGUUGCAUAUGUAGCCAAGCAGGGCCUUGUUAGGCACCACUGGGCAGCCCUGCCAAGGUUGGACCCCGUCCCCAGUGUAGGGGAAUGUCAGGGCAGGGAGGC
ensembl:lncRNA